CCCAUGAAUUUGAAAUUGACAGAUAAAUUCCCCAACUAUCACAUAUGCAAAAUAAUUCCCCAAAUCUGCAUCACUUUGCAAAAUUGAACUACUGAAAAGUUCAUAUCGAACAAUAAACGGAAAACGUUACUAUAAUUGUGUGCCCUCUUUUAAUCGUCUUCUUCUUCUCCUUCUUUUUUUUUUCUAAUUUGAAACCAGUAAACUCCAAAUUGAUUCUCACGAUGAUUAUAUUGCCCAGUUAACAAUGAAGCAUUUUCUUUCGUGGGUUCGUACAAAUCUGAUCAAAGAGAGGCCUUAAAUGUUCAUCAAGGGAGAUGUGUAUGUCUGCUUCUCUUCUUUCAUUAACUCAAAUUUUUUGAAGGUUAGUAAAUGUUUUUUAACAUGGAAAUUUGAUUCUUGUGCAAGAGACAUGGUGUUCUUGUGUUAGUGAAUGACUGUGAUUGGGAGCUAAGCGGUCAGUUUUCAUCUUGACCUUGCACGGUGGAUAAAGUAGAUCAUCUAUGUUCUUCACUUCUACUAUGUUAUCUCUGCAACUACAGAACCUAAUGUGUUUACUUGAAGAAUGAUUGUAGAUUUGUCUUGUUAAAAAGAAUGCAAACCUGUAAAUGUAUCAUCUCUGUAAUUUUACACACAGCUAAUUUCAAUAAUUGCUCUAA